AUACGUAGGGGACGAGCGUUGUCCGGAAUUACUGGGCGUAAAGGGCGCGCAGGCGGAUAUUUAAGUCAGCUGUAAAAGGCAUGAGCUCAACUCAUGUAUGCGGUUGAAACUGGGUAUCUAGAGUGCUGGAGAGGUAGGCGGAAUUCCCGGUGUAGCGGUGGAAUGCGUAGAUAUCGGGAAGAACACCAGUGGCGAAGGCGGCUUACUGGCCAGCAACUGACGCUGAGGCGCGAAAGCCAGGGGAGCGAACGGGAUUAGAUACCCCGGUAGUCCUGGCCGUAAACGAUGAAUGCUAGGUGUGGGUGUCGAGAGGCAUCCGUGCCGGAGUUAACGCGAUAAGCAUUCCGCCUGGGGAGUACGAUCGCAAGAUUGAAACUUAAAGGAAUUGACGGGG
rnacentral:rRNA from 1 species